rnacentral:rRNA from 1 species
AGCGAACGCUGGCGGCAGGCCUAACACAUGCAAGUCGAACGGAUCCUUCGGGAUUAGUGGCGGACGGGUGAGUAACACGUGGGAACGUGCCUUUUGGUUCGGAACAACUCAGGGAAACUUGAGCUAAUACCGAAUGUGCCCUUCGGGGAAAGAUUUAUCGCCAUUAGAGCGGCCCGCGUCUGAUUAGCUUGUUGGUGAGGUAAAGGCUCACCAAGGCUACGAUCAGUAGCUGGUCUGAGAGGAUGAUCAGCCACAUUGGGACUGAGACACGGCCCAAACUCCUACGGGAGGCAGCAGUGGGGAAUCUUGCGCAAUGGGCGAAAGCCUGACGCAGCCAUGCCGCGUGAAUGAUGAAGGUCUUAGGAUUGUAAAAUUCUUUCACCGGGGACGAUAAUGACGGUACCCGGAGAAGAAGCCCCGGCUAACUUCGUGCCAGCAGCCGCGGUAAGGUCGUCAUGU